rnacentral:rRNA from 1 species
ACGCUGGCGGCGUGCUUAACACAUGCAAGUCGAACGGAAAGGCCCUGCUUUUGUGGGGUGCUCGAGUGGCGAACGGGUGAGUAACACGUGAGUAACCUGCCCUUGACUUUGGGAUAACUUCAGGAAACUGGGGCUAAUACCGGAUAGGAGCUCCUGCUGCAUGGUGGGGGUUGGAAAGUUUCGGCGGUUGGGGAUGGACUCGCGGCUUAUCAGCUUGUUGGUGGGGUAGUGGCUUACCAAGGCUUUGACGGGUAGCCGGCCUGAGAGGGUGACCGGCCACAUUGGGACUGAGAUACGGCCCAGACUCCUACGGGAGGCAGCAGUGGGGAAUAUUGCACAAUGGGCGGAAGCCUGAUGCAGCAACGCCGCGUGCGGGAUGACGGCCUUCGGGUUGUAAACCGCUUUCGCCUGUGACGAAGCGUGAGUGACGGUAAUGGGUAAAGAAGCACCGGCUAACUACGUGCCAGCAGCCGCGGUGAUACGUAGGGUGCGAGCGUUGUCCGGAUUUAUUGGGCGUAAAGGGCUCGUAGGUGGUUGAUCGCGUCGGAAGUGUAAUCUUGGGGCUUAACCCUGAGCGUGCUUUCGAUACGGGUUGACUUGAGGAAGGUAGGGGAGAAUGGAAUUCCUGGUGGAGCGGUGGAAUGCGCAGAUAUCAGGAGGAACACCAGUGGCGAAGGCGGUUCUCUGGGCCUUUCCUGACGCUGAGGAGCGAAAGCGUGGGGAGCGAACAGGCUUAGAUACCCUGGUAGUCCACGCUGUAAACGGUGGGUACUAGGUGUGGGGUCCAUUCCACGGGUUCCGUGCCGUAGCUAACGCUUUAAGUACCCCGCCUGGGGAGUACGGCCGCAAGGCUAAAACUCAAAGGAAUUGACGGGGCCCCGCACAAGCGGCGGAGCAUGCGGAUUAAUUCGAUGCAACGCGUAGAACCUUACCUGGGUUUGACAUGGAUCGGGAGCGCUCAGAGAUGGGUGUGCCUCUUUUGGGGUCGGUUCACAGGUGGUGCAUGGCUGUCGUCAGCUCGUGUCGUGAGAUGUUGGGUUAAGUCCCGCAACGAGCGCAACCCUUGUUCACUGUUGCCAGCACGUUAUGGUGGGGACUCAGUGGAGACCGCCGGGGUCAACUCGGAGGAAGGUGGGGAUGACGUCAAGUCAUCAUGCCCCUUAUGUCCAGGGCUUCACGCAUGCUACAAUGGCUGGUACAGAGAGUGGCGAGCCUGUGAGGGUGAGCGAAUCUCGGAAAGCCGGUCUCAGUUCGGAUUGGGGUCUGCAACUCGACCUCAUGAAGUCGGAGUCGCUAGUAAUCGCAGAUCAGCAACGCUGCGGUGAAUACGUUCCCGGGGCUUGUACACACCGCCCGUCAAGUCAUGAAAGUUGGUAACACCCGAAGCCGGUGGCCUAACCGUUGUGGGGGAGCCGUCGAAGGUGGGACUGGUGAUUAG